UACGUAGGGCGCAAGCGUUGUCCGGAAUUAUUGGGCGUAAAGAGCUCGUAGGCGGUGUGUCGCGUCGGCCGUGAAAACCUGCAGCUUAACUGUGGGCUUGCGGUCGAUACGGGCAUCACUGGAGUUCGGCAGGGGAGACUGGAAUUCCUGGUGUAGCGGUGAAAUGCGCAGAUAUCAGGAAGAACACCCGUGGCGAAGGCGGCUCUCUGGGACGGUACUGACGCUGAGACGCGAAAGCGUGGGGGAGCGAACAGG
rnacentral:rRNA from 1 species